rnacentral:lncRNA from 10 species
CGCCCGCCUUGGCCUCCCAAAGUGCUGGGAUUACAGGCAUGAGUCACCGCGCCCGGCCAUGAAAAGUUUCUAAAUUACAGCAAAGUUGAAAAAUUUUACAGUGGACACCCGCAUAUCCGCCACUUAGAUCCUACCAUGAACACUUUGCUGUAUUUGCUUUAUCUCACAUCUACCUAUUACACUAUUUAUCCAUCAAUCCAACUCAUCUCUGGAUGCAUUUCAAAAUAAAUUGUCGACAUUGGUUUAUUGUUCCCUAAAUAUUUCAGUGUACAUACUUUUUUUUUUCUUUUCUUUUUUUUAAAGACAGGGUCUAGCUCUGUAGCCCAGGCUGGAGUGCAGUGGCAUGAUCUUAGUUCACUACAAUACAGCCUUGAACUCCUGGGCUCAAGUAAACCUCCUGCCUCAGCGCCCCUCCCCGCCCCUAGUAAUGGGACUGCAAAUCGUGUGCCACCACAUCUGGCUAUUUAUUUACUUAUUUAUUUUUGUAGAGACAGGUCUUGCUGUGUUGCCCAGGGUAGUCUCAAACUCCUGGCCUCAAGUGAUCCUCCCGCCUUGGCCUCCCAAAGAAGUCAGAUUACAGGCGUAUCUUUAACUGGCGUUCAAUAUUUUCUUUUGAGGUAAACUUUACAUACAAUGAAAUUCACACACUUCACUAAGUUUCAUAAGUGCAUACACCUGUGUAACCCAAACCCCUCCCCAGCAUGGCAACUAGUUUUUUUUUUUAAUGUAGCCUCUAAAGCAAGUGUCAGAGAGAGAGAGAAAGAGAGAGAAAUUAUCUUUUUUUUUUUUUCCACUGCAACCUCUGCCUUCUGAGUUCAAGCAAUUCUCUUGCCUCAGCCUCCUGAGUAGCUGGGAUUACAGGCACGCCUAGGGGGAAAGAUUGGAAACUCCAUUUAGGACCUAUGGAAUUUGAGAUGUCUUUUAAACCCUUGGGUAGAAAUGGUAAUGAGGUAGGAGCCCAAGGUUUCGUGGCCAGGUCUAGGUUACAGACAGAAAUUUGAGGAUUAUCA